rnacentral:misc_RNA from 1 species
UUAAGUUCAGCGGGUAGUCCUACCUGAUUUGAGGUCAAAUGGUUCAAAUUGUCCAAAUACUUGGACGGUUUGAAGCAGCUACACUUAACAUCACUACUAGGCGUAGAUAUUAUCACACCAGGAUGUAGCGAACAGUAACCACUAAUGCAUUUAAGGAGAGCUGACUCGUGAAAGCCAGCAACCCCCACAUCCAAAGCCUC